UACGUAGGGUGCAAGCGUUUUCCGGAUUUAUUGGGUUUAAAGGGUGCGUAGGUGGCUUUUUAAGUCAUGGGUGAAAGCCCGCAGCUCAACUGUGGAAUUGCCUGUGAUACUGAGGAGCUUGAGUGCGGUUGAGGCAGCUGGAAUUGGCGGUGUAGCGGUGAAAUGCAUAGUUACCACCAGGAACACCGAUUGCGAAGGCAGGUUGCUAAGCCGUAACUGACACUGAGGCACGAAAGCGUGGGGAGCAAGCAGG
rnacentral:rRNA from 1 species